AUGCACACAGAAGAGCACACACUUGAUGACACAGAUACUUUGGGUGCAACAGGUGGGACUGCUGGGCAUGAGGGUGCAGGGGGAGACGCUGACAACGAUAAUGAAGUGUGGUCCUAGCCAAAGGAACCUUCAUUAGGUACAAGGUUUGACACUUUGCAAGGUGCAAGAGAACACUAUAAUGCUUAUGCUCAGCAUGUGGGUUUUUCAAUCAAGAUGAACACUUCCAGACGGUCUACUGUUACUGGCGAAAUAGACAAGUAUCAGUUUGUUUGCAACAAGUUUCGCAAACCGAAAAACGAUGACCACGGUACUGUGACCGCACCUAGCGUUGAAAUGCUGGAAGACAAUGAUGAUGCUGAUGGUGGGAAUGAUGAUGAUGCUGACAAAAAGAAGAAGAGGAAGAAACGGAAAAGAGAAAAGAUAAUACAGACUGGGUGCAAAGCAAAGAUGAUAGUCAAAUUGAUUGAUGGCCGUUGGGAGGUCACUUAUUUUAUUGCUGAGCAUAACCAUCCAUUGAUUGAGAAACCUUCAUUGACUAAAUAUUUGCAAUCGCACCAGGGCAUACCACCAGAAGAGAAGCUGUUCCUAAAAAACCUUCAUAAUUGCAACUUAACUACAGGCCGAAUGAUGCACAUCAUGUCGGAUUACUAUGGCACAGAGUUGAUUGUUCCUUAUACCGACAAGCACAUCACGAACCUGAAGUCAAGCUUGAACAGGGAUGCAACUAAAGAAGGCGAUAUGAUUGAGACAGUUGCCUAUUUCAAAGAUAUACAGAAGACAGAUCCAAAAUUCUUCUACAAGGUCAAGUAUGAUGCAGAAGACAAAGUUGAGAAUAUAUUCUGGGUUGAUGGACCAGCACGAAAAGCCUACAAAGAAGCCUAUCAUGAUUGCAUAUGCUUUGACACGACAUACAUGACUAACAUGUAUAACAUGCCGUUUGCUCCAUUCAUUGGGAUAAAUCGUCAUGGGCAGACAUUCAUGUUGGGGUGUGGCUUUGUUAGGCAGGAGUUAGAGACAAGUUUUGAUUGGUUAUUUGGUACAUUUCUUGAAGCAAUGGAUGGUCUAGCACCAGACAACAUAAUCACUGACCAAGAUUGGGCGAUGGCACAAUCCAUUGAAAACAUUUUCCCUACUUCUGUGCAUCGUCGAUGUCGGUGGCACAUAAUGAAGAAAGCUCAGGAAAAACUUGGUGGCUUAGUUGGAAGGAACCCAGGAUUGUCAAAAGAUUUCAAUGAUAUAGUUGACUUUAGCUUCACUCCAGGAGAAUUUGAGACAAAAUGGACAAGCUUCAAGGAUAAGUGGCCUUUUAUUGCUGGAACCCACUUUGAUAAGCUGUAUGAGUACCGGGCAACAUGGGUGCCUUGUUACUUCAAACACCGGUUUUCCCCUUCUUGCAGUCUACCUAGAGAAGCGAAGGUUUUAAUGUAG
rnacentral:rRNA from 1 species